GGAUACGUGCUCGAAAGUUAAAGACCACUUUGAUAGAGUGACCAAUAAGAGUUCAAACCUCUUCAUAUCCU
rnacentral:tRNA from 1 species